UACGUAGGGUGCAAGCGUUGUCCGGAAUUACUGGGCGUAAAGAGUACGUAGGUGGUUUGCCAAGUCCGAUGUGAAAUCUCCUGGCUUAACUGGGAGGGUGCGUUAGAUACUGGCAGGCUUGAGUGUGGGAGAGGAGAGCGGAAUUCCUGGUGUAGCGGUGAAAUGCGUAGAUAUCAGGAGGAACGCCUGUGGUGUAGACGGCUCUCUGGACCAUUACUGACACUGAGGUACGAAAGCGUGGGUAGCAAACAGG
rnacentral:rRNA from 1 species